UUUCUUCAGGGCAGGGUGUAAUUCCCUACCGGCGGUAAAGCCCGCGAGCCGUAAGGCAUGAUUCGGUGUAAUUCCGAAGCCGACAGUAUAGUCUGGAUGAGAGAAGAG
rnacentral:ncRNA from 1 species